AACGAACGCUGGCGGCAGGCUUAACACAUGCAAGUCGAACGCCCCGCAAGGGGAGUGGCAGACGGGUGCGUAACGCGUGGGAAUCUACCCAGAUCUACGGAACAACAGUUGGAAACGACUGCUAAUACCGUAUACGCCCUACGGGGGAAAGAUUUAUCGGAUUUGGAUGGGCCCGCGUUGGAUUAGCUAGUUGGUGGGGUAAUGGCCUACCAAGGCGACGGACACUAGCUGGUAUGAGAGGAUGAUCAGCAACCCUGGGACUGAGACACGGCCCAGACUCCUACGGGAGGCAGCAGUGGGGAAUAUUGGACAAUGGGCGAAAGCCUGAUCCAGCCAUGCCGCGUGAGUGAUGAAGGCCUUAGGGUUGUAAAGCUCUUUCACCGAUGAAGAUAAUGACGGUAGUCGGAGAAGAAGCCCCGGCUAACUUCGUGCCAGCAGCCGCUGUAAGAC
rnacentral:rRNA from 1 species